rnacentral:rRNA from 1 species
UACAGAGGUCUCAAGCGUUGUUCGGAUUCAUUGGGCGUAAAGGGCGCGUAGGCGGCGGGGUAAGUCUGGUGUGAAAUCUCGGAGCUCAACUCCGAAAUUGCACUGGAUACUGCUCUGCUAGAGGGCUGGGAGAGGAGAUCGGAAUUCACGGUGUAGCAGUGAAAUGCGUAGAUAUCGUGAGGAAGACCAGUGGCGAAGGCGGAUCUCUGGACAGCUCCUGACGCUGAGGCGCGAAGGCUAGGGGAGCAAACGGG